rnacentral:rRNA from 1 species
AGCAGCCGCCGCGGGAAUACGGAGGGUGCAAGCGUUAAUCGGAAUUACUGGGCGUAAAGCGCACGCAGGCGGUCUGACAAGUCAGAUGUGAAAUCCCCGGGCUUAACCUGGGAACUGCAUUUGAAACUGUCAGGCUGGAGUCUUGUAGAGGGGGGUGGAAUUCCAGGUGUAGCGGUGAAAUGCGUAGAGAUCUGGAGGAAUACCGGUGGCGAAGGCGGCCCCCUGGACAAAGACUGACGCUCAGGUGCGAAAGCGUGGGGAGCAAACAGGAUUAGAUACCCCGGUAGUCCCUGUCUCUUAUAC